UACAGGCUUAACACAUGCAAGUCGAGGGGCAGCAUGGGAGUUUGCUUGCAAACUUCCGAUGGCGACCGGCGCACGGGUGAGUAACACGUAUCCAACCUGCCGAUAACUCGGGGAUAGCCUUUCGAAAGAAAGAUUAAUAUCCGAUAGGAUAUCAAGGUCGCAUGAUCUUGAUAUUAAAGAAUUUCGGUUAUCGAUGGGGAUGCGUUCCAUUAGUUAGUUGGCGGGGUAACGGCCCACCAAGACGACGAUGGAUAGGGGUUCUGAGAGGAAGGUCCCCCACAUUGAACUGAGACACGGUCCAAACUCCUACGGGAGGCAGCAGUGAGGAAUAUUGGUCAAUGGACGAGAGUCUGAACCAGCCAAGUAGCGUGAAGGAUGACUGCCCUAUGGGUUGUAAACUUCUUUUAUAUGGGAAUAAAACAGGGUAUGCAUACCCUCUUGUAUGUACCAUAUGAAUAAGGAUCGGCUAACUCCGUGCCAGCAGCCGCGGUAAUACGGAGGAUCCGAGCGUUAUCCGGAUUUAUUGGGUUUAAAGGGAGCGUAGGUGGAUUGUUAAGUCAGUUGUGAAAGUUUGCGGCUCAACCGUAAGAUUGCAGUUGAAACUGGCAGUCUUGAGUACAGUAGAGGUGGGCGGAAUUCGUGGUGUAGCGGUGAAAUGCUUAGAUAUCACGAAGAACUCCGAUUGCGAAGGCAGCUCACUGGACUGCAACUGACACUGAUGCUCGAAAGUGUGGGUAUCAAACAGGAUUAGAUACCCUGGUAGUCCACACAGUAAACGAUGAAUACUCGCUGUUUGCGAUAUACAGUAAGCGGCCAAGCGAAAGCAUUAAGUAUUCCACCUGGGGAGUACGCCGGCAACGGUGAAACUCAAAGGAAUUGACGGGGGCCCGCACAAGCGGAGGAACAUGUGGUUUAAUUCGAUGAUACGCGAGGAACCUUACCCGGGCUUAAAUUGCACCUGAAUAACGUGGAGACAUGUUAGCCGCAAGGCAGGUGUGAAGGUGCUGCAUGGUUGUCGUCAGCUCGUGCCGUGAGGUGUCGGCUUAAGUGCCAUAACGAGCGCAACCCUUAUCUUUAGUUACUAACAGGUUCUGCUGAGGACUCUAGAGAGACUGCCGUCGUAAGAUGUGAGGAAGGUGGGGAUGACGUCAAAUCAGCACGGCCCUUACGUCCGGGGCUACACACGUGUUACAAUGGGGGGUACAGAAGGCAGCUACCUGGCGACAGGAUGCUAAUCCCCAAAACCUCUCUCAGUUCGGAUCGAAGUCUGCAACCCGACUUCGUGAAGCUGGAUUCGCUAGUAAUCGCGCAUCAGCCAUGGCGCGGUGAAUACGUUCCCGGGCCUUGUACACACCGCCCGUCAAGCCAUGAAAGCCGGGGGUACCUGAAGUACGUAACCGCGAGGAGCGUCCUAGGGUAAAACU
rnacentral:rRNA from 1 species